rnacentral:tRNA from 1 species
GGUGGUGGCUCAGUGGUAGAGCGCUUGCCUAGCAUGGGUGGGGCACUAGAUUUGAUCGCCGACACCACAUAAAAAUAAACAAAUAAAAUAAAGGCAAAAAAAAAAAAUCAAAAAAGGGGGGGGGCUAGGGAUGUGGCUCAAGUGGUAGCGCACUUGCCUAGCAUGCAUGAGGCACUGGGUUCGAUUCUCAGCACCA